rnacentral:rRNA from 1 species
GAACGAACGCUGGCGGCAGGCUUAACACAUGCAAGUCGAANGCCCCGCAAGGGGAGUGGCAGACGGGUGAGUAACGCGUGGGAAUCUACCGUGCCCUGCGGAAUAGCUCCGGGAAACUGGAAUUAAUUCCGCAUACGCCCUACGGGGGAAAGAUUUAUCGGGGUAUGAUGAGCCCGCGUUGGAUUAGCUAGUUGGUGGGGUAAAGGCCUACCAAGGCGACGAUCCAUAGCUGGUCUGAGAGGAUGAUCAGCAACAUUGGGACUGAGACACGGCCCAAACUCCUACGGGAGGCAGCAGUGGGGAAUAUUGGACAAUGGGCGCAAGCCUGAUCCAGCCAUGCCGCGUGAGUGAUGAAGGCCUUAGGGUUGUAAAGNUCUUUCACCGGAGAAGAUAAUGACGGUA